rnacentral:lncRNA from 1 species
AUGCCAGCAUCAAGUCAGGCGUUUAAGGAACAAAAUAAAAACAACAAAUGGGAGCUUUCUGAGAGUGACACUAUUCCUGUCUUUAGAUCUCUAUUAAAAGAAUGUGGUGUUUUCCAUUCGAUUAGACAACAAAGACUAUCUUCUUCUUGCACCUCUGAAGCUGUUGUCAGAGUGCUCCUGUGGCUGCUGAGCCCUGGCAGUCCUCCUCAGCAUCCUUUACUUUAUUUACUCCAUUUCCUCAAUGAGAAGAAGAGGGCUUCACAUUUGGUAAACUGAGCUUGAAGAGAUCACUCAAUAUUGGAAGGGAAGGGACCCAAGUGUCCCAAAUCUUCUGCAGCUUGUACUUCUCUCUGGGCCACAGAGCUAAGGUAAGGGGGCAACAUUCCCACCCUUGGCCAUGAGAGGAUACCCUCUAAU